GUAGGUGGCAAGCGUUGUCCGGAAUUAUUGGGCGUAAAGCGCGCGCAGGCGGUUCGUUUAAGUCUGAUGUGAAAGACCCACGGGCUCAACCGUGGAGGGUCAUUGGAAACUGGAGAACUUGAGUACAGAAGAGGAAAGCGGAAUUCCACGUGUAGCGGUGAAAUGCGUAGAGAUGUGGAGGAACACCAGUGGCGAAGGCGGCUUUCUGGUCUGUAACUGACGCUGAGGCGCGAAAGCGUGGGGAGCAAACAGGAUUAGAUACCCUGGUAGUCCACGCCGUAAACGAUGAGUGCUAAGUGUUAGGGGGUUUCCGCCCCUUAGUGCUGCAGCUAACGCAUUAAGCACUCCGCCUGGGGAGUACGGCCGCAAGGCUG
rnacentral:rRNA from 1 species